rnacentral:rRNA from 1 species
AGUGAACGCUGGCGGUAGGCCUAACACAUGCAAGUCGAACGGCAGCACAGUAAUAGCUUGCUCUUACGGGUGGCGAGUGGCGGACGGGUGAGGAAUACAUCGGAAUCUACUUUUUCGUGGGGGAUAACGAAGGGAAACUUACGCUAAUACCGCAUACGACCUACGGGUGAAAGCAGGGGAUCUUCGGACCUUGCGCGAUUGAAUGAGCCGAUGUCGGAUUAGUUAGUUGGCGGGGUAAAGGCCCACCAAGGCGACGAUCCGUAGCUGGUCUGAGAGGAUGAUCAGCCACACUGGAACUGAGACACGGUCCAGGCUCCUACGGGAGGCAGCAGUGGGGAAUAUUGGACAAUGGGCGCAAGCCUGAUCCAGCCAUACCGCGUGGGUGAAGAAGGCCUUCGGGUUGUAAAGCCCUUUUGUUGGGAAAGAAAAGCAGCAGGUUAAUACCACGCUGUUAUGACGGUACCCAAAGAAUAAGCACCGGCUAACUUCGUG